rnacentral:rRNA from 1 species
GACGAACCGUCCGAACGUUAUUCGGAAUCACUGGGCUUAAAGGGCGCGUAGGCGGGCCGCCAGGUCCGGGGUGAAAGCCUCCAGCUUAACUGGAGAAGUGCCUUGGAUACCGGCGGCCUCGAGGGAGGCAGGGGCGUGCGGAACUUCGGGUGGAGCGGUGAAAUGCGUAGAUAUCCGAAGGAACACCGGUGGCGAAAGCGGCGCGCUGGACCUCUUCUGACGCUGAGGCGCGAAAGCCAGGGGAGCAAACGGG